rnacentral:misc_RNA from 1 species
CGCCCUUCCCUGGCAAGGUUUGGAUGUAUAUAGAUUGAUGGUUUUGUGGGUUUUGCAUGCAAGCUAAUCUUCAACGAAAGGGCUUCUAUAGCAGUGCUUGUGUGUAGGGUUUGGUUUUGAGGUUUCGGCCUGGAGCUGCAAUGAUGAUAGCCGAACGCAAUUUGGAGGCCUCUAGUUGGUGUUUCGUCUCUUAGGUCUACGAUUUGGUUUUGCAUUACAAGAGGGUUCCCUUGCGUUUGGUUGUCUUCGCCCCUCCAGAAAUUGUUUCUACACCACAGCUGGAAAGGCCUUCCUGAUGGCUUAAAAUGCCAUAAGAACUGCGGCAGCCCCAUUUUGCCCGUGUAGAACUGGGUUUUAUUAUUCUGCUAAGAUUUUGGAAGUUUGAUUAGUUGUAGCGGGCUUGGAUGGGCAACUUUGGUUGUUCCUUAGUUG